AGUGAACGCUGGCGGCAGGCCUAACACAUGCAAGUCGAACGGCAGCACAGUAAUAGUUUGCUCUUAAGGGUGUUGAGUGGCGUACGGGUGAGCAAUACAUUAGCAUCUACUUUUUCUUGCGGGCACACGUCGGGAACCUUACGCUAAUACCGCAUACGCCCUAUGGGUGCAAGUCGGCACACUUUGGAACUUGCGCGAUUGAAUGAGCCGAUGUCGGAUUAGCUACUUGGCGGGGUAAAGGCCCACCAAGGCGACGAUCCGUAGCUGAUCUGUGAGGAUCAGAAGCCACACUGGAACUGGGGAGCGGGCCAGACCACUGCGGGAGGCAGCAGGGGGGAAUAUUGGACAAUGGGCGCAAUCCUGAUCCAUCCAUACCGCGUGGGUGAAGGAGGCCUUCGGGUUGUAAAACCCUUUUGUUGGGAAAGAUAAGCAGCAGGUUAAUACCCCGCGGUUAUGACGGUACCGAAAGAAUAAGCACCGGCUAACUACGUG
rnacentral:rRNA from 1 species